AACGCGAAGAACCUUACCAUCCUUUGACAUGUCCGGUAUGGUUACCAGAGAUGGUUUCCUUCAGUUCGGCUGGCCGGAACACAGGUGCUGCAUGGCUGUCGUCAGCUCGUGUCGUGAGAUGUUGGGUUAAGUCCCGCAACGAGCGCAACCCACGCCCUUAGUUGCCAUCAUUUAGUUGGGCACUCUAGGGGGACUGCCGGUGAUAAGCCGAGAGGAAGGUGUGGAUGACGUCAAGUCCUCAUGGCCCUUACGGGAUGGGCUACACACGUGCUACAAUGGCGGUGACAAUGGGACGCGGAGGGGUGACCCCGAGCAAAUCUCAAAAAGCCGUCUCAGUUCGGAUUGUACUCUGCAACUCGAGUGCAUGAAGGUGGAAUCGCUAGUAAUCGUAGAUCAGAACGCUACGGUGAAUACGUUCCCGGGCCUUGUACACACCGCGCAUA
rnacentral:rRNA from 1 species